CUCAAAAAAAGGAGAUUCAAACUCCUACCCCUAACCCCCAAAGCUAGGAUUCUCAAUUAAACUAUUCUUUG
rnacentral:tRNA from 1 species